UAGGUGAGGGAACUAGGUGAAUUGCUCUGUUUUGAAGAAAACAGUUAUAUGAGAAGUAAGGAAGGCAGGUUUCAACAUUAACGGCAUUGUGGGUAUUACGCAAUUGACAAUUGGCAUGGGGCAGAAUUGAAUUUCCUCCUCAAUUCCUAUUUUACUUCAGCAAUAAUAAGGACAAUGCAACAACUCAAGGUCAGAAAAUGGAUGUGCAGUGAUUAUGUUGAAUAUUUUUGACAAACACCUUCCAAUUUUGGAAUUUGAAGAAUCAAGGAGCAAAGAAUAACUGAUAGUGGUCAAAGAGGAACUUAGUCAUUGGACUAAUAAAUAAAAGAAAUGCAGAAGAAGGAGCCUCAUCAAUGUCCAUUGAAGAUUGAUUGUAUACUUCUUGAAUAGUAUUGUUGAAAUUUGAGUAUUGGAGUGCAAUUUAUGCAAUAAAAUACUUUUUCCAUA